AUCAAUUUAGAACAGGAAAAUAAUAUUGAAAGAACCAACAAUAUAAUUGAACCAUCAAUCAAUUUGGAACAAGAAAAUGAUAACAAAAUAUCAUGUGAUGAAGAUAUUGAUGAAAAAAAUUACAACAGUAUAAUUGAACAAUCAAUCAAUUUGGAACAAGAAUAUGAUGAACAAAUAUUGAGUGAUCAACAUUUUAAUAAUAACAUUGAUAAAUCCAAAAUA